CCCGUAGGCGGUUUGUCGCGUCGGGAGUGAAAACCAGGUGCUUAACACCUGGCUUGCUUUCGAUACGGGCAGACUAGAGGUAUUCAGGGGAGAACGGAAUUCCUGGUGUAGCGGUGAAAUGCGCAGAUAUCAGGAGGAACACCGGUGGCGAAGGCGGUUCUCUGGAUAUCCUGACGCUGAGGAGCGAAAGCCAGGGGAGCAAAACGG
rnacentral:rRNA from 1 species